UAAUUUGAAAAGUGACUUUGAAC
rnacentral:siRNA from 1 species